ACGGCGAGUGAACAGGCAAGAGCUCAGAUUUGAAAGCCUUUCGGGGCAUUGUAUUCUGAAGCCUUGAUUCUGAGAACCGGUACCUAAGUCUUCUGGAAAGGAGCGCCAAGGAGGGUGAUAGCCCCGUACGGUACUGACCUCAUUGUAGAAUCUUGGCGUGGAGUCGAGUUGUUUGGGAAUGCAGCUCAAAUGGGUGGUAUGCUCCAUCUAAAGCUAAAUAUCUGCGAGAGACCGAUAGCGAACAAGUACUGUGAAGGAAAGAUGAAAAGAACUUUGAAAAGAGAGUGAAAAAGUACGUGAAAUUGUUGAAAUGGAAGGAUAGGCCGCUAACCACGUAGAGCCGUGUCUGAGGGGAGGAUAAAAGCUGUAGAAUGUGGCUCUUCGGAGUGUUAUAGCUGCAGUGCAUACUCCCACUCGGGCGCGAGGACCUAAGGCUCUGCUAAAUGGUGGUCUAUCACCCGUCUUGA
rnacentral:rRNA from 1 species